UGAAGAUGUGUUGUCGCCACCACCGCCCUUGCGUCCUAAGUUCCAGGUAAAGCAGAGCACCAUGUAAGUGCAAUCUGGUUAUAGUAUCUGUCUUGUGGUUCUUUUGCUGUCUAUCUUGCUUAAGUUGCCUCUUGCACUGAUGAUACAGGAAGGCCGUACUAGAUGAUGAAUCUGGUACGCAACCUCCGGAGGCUAGGGGGGACAAGAUGGUCGAGCCGGACAAGGAGCUGUACCAAACCUG
rnacentral:lncRNA from 1 species